rnacentral:lncRNA from 1 species
GCUUGCUGGGACGCGUAGUCCCAGUGGCCCCUGCGGCCCCACCCAGGAGUACCUGUUCUGGAGUUCCAGGACCCCACAGCAGCACCGUGAAACUUGGGACCCCGGAGCACUCAGGACCGGAUGACUGCCAGGAAUCUGGGGAGCAGCGGGAUCCCCAGAGUGCGUGUAACUUCAGAGCUCCCCGGAAACCUAGACUGCCCGGAAUUCUGGAGUGCCCCAAACCCGCAAAAUGCCUGGAGCACACCCGACCCGGGUGUUGCACAUCCUGGAGUACCAGGACUUCAGAGUGCCUGGACCCCAGGAGUGACCCUUUCCCCCACAGUGCCAGAAUCCGCGGAACCUGAGUAUCCCUGACAUCACUAUCCCAGAUCUGGUAGUGCCCAGACUCAGAAGUGCCUGGAACCCCAGAGUGGCCCCAACCCUGUGUCCCAGACCUGGGAAUACUCUGAUCCCCCAGGAUGGAUCACCAGAGUGCCCCGAGCAAAAGCUGGAAGAGAUCAUCAGAUGCUCUGGAGCUGGAGUUACAAGUAUUUGUGAGCUACCCAAUGUGGAUGCUGAGAACUGAACUUCAGUCUUCUGGAAGAGCAGCAAGCACUAUUAACCACUGGGCAUGUCUCCAGCCCUCCAUUUCCUUUUCAUUGUAAUGGGAAUAAUUCAGUCUUGUGUUGCUUCAUAAUGGAGAUUUAUUGUGAGAAAUCUCCUUGUUAGGUCUUUUCAUCACAACGUAUGUCCUAAAAGGCACAAACCUAGAUGGUGUGGCCUUUUAUACAUAGGCUGCACAGUGUAGGGUGUUACUCCUGAGUAAAAAAAUCUAUACAGUGUGUUAGCAUAAAGGUGGAGGGGGGACCUUGGAUGUGUGACCAUGGCAGAUUCCAUGGCAGGUGAGGGUGACCAAGGUGGAGGGACAAACACCAGCCAGGCAGACAGAGCUUAAAUGAAAAGUUUUAUUAGAAAGAGGAGUGAGGAGGGAAGGAAAGAGAAAAGAG